GGUACCGUAGCCAAGUGGUUAAGGCGAUAGACUAGAUAUCUUUUGGGAUCUUCCCGCGCAGGUUCGAAUCCUGCCAACAACG
rnacentral:tRNA from 1 species